rnacentral:rRNA from 1 species
AACGAACGCUGGCGGCAUGCCUAACACAUGCAAGUCGAACGAGGCCUUCGGGUCUAGUGGCGCACGGGUGCGUAACGCGUGGGAAUCUGCCCUUGGGUUCGGGAUAACAGUUGGAAACGACUGCUAAUACCGGAUGAUGACUUCGGUCCAAAGAUUUAUCGCCCAGGGAUGAGCCCGCGUCGGAUUAGCUAGUUGGUGAGGUAAGAGCUCACCAAGGCGACGAUCCGUAGCUGGUCUGAGAGGAUGAUCAGCCACACUGGGACUGAGACACGGCCCAGACUCCUACGGGAGGCAGCAGUGGGGAAUAUUGGACAAUGGGCGAAAGCCUGAUCCAGCAAUGCCGCGUGAGUGAUGAAGGCCUUAGGGUUGUAAAGCUCUUUUACCCGGGAUGAUAAUGACAGUACCGGGAGAAUAAGCCCCGGCUAACUCCGUG